rnacentral:lncRNA from 1 species
UCCAUAUACAUGAAAGGAUAAUCUGACUCAACAUCCAACUCAUCAUCAUCAAUGUAAACUCUUGGAGCUCUUUUGUUGGUGAUCAAGUGUUUAAUCAGGUCGGUUGCUAACAUUAUCCUAAAAUUUCUCACUGUUUCCUGCAAUUUAAAGGUAUAAGUGAUUCUGCAAUUUAAAGGUAUAAGUGUAUACAUGAGUAGAAAUGUUUUAGAAAAAAAAAAGCAUUUACCUUGCCAAAGUCAUAGAUUUCACAUUCUCCAUAAUUUUGAAUAUACAACAGAACAUGGAAACCGCAAUCGUACCUGCAAAAAAAAAAACACACACACACACAAAUCUUGUCAAAGACAGCAGGAAAUUGAAUGACAGGUAAAAAGAGACAAGGCCAGUAACAAAAUUACCCGUUUCUUUGUCUCCUACAAUUUGGUAUUUGAGGCUUGUAACUCGAGAUAUCAAUAUCCAUGUAGGAUUUAAUGGGAUUGGUCAGUUCUAAAAUCUUUCUUUUGAUAAACUCAAUGCGUUCCUUGCAAGGUAAGGAGUCAAACACGGAUAUGGUGUUAAGCUGAAUAUCAUUCACUAUUAGGAACCAAUGGUUAACAUGCCAAAUUGGGCAGAAUAUCUGGGGAAAAAAAAUCCUAUUGUCAAACUCAGAAAUAUAUAAAAAAUAGAACUGUACUAUGCUGAAUUAGUACAUACCUGUGUCGCUUUAUUUUUCUUUCCUUCUUGAAGCUCUGAUUCCAGUGAUAUUUUACCCACAUUCUGAGAAAGGAGGAUAAUUAUGUCAUUCUCAGUUUUAUAGACACAUAAAAUAAAAUCAAAUAAAAAAUCGUUGAUAAAAGAAAAUCAAAUAAGUUGAACGACUACUUACAAGUGCAGCUUGUGAAAGGAUUACGAUUUCCUUCCUUUUUUCACCCCAUAUCUUGCAUUGUACAUCUAAUAUUUCGGAAUGCAUGCGUCCUUCAUAUUUAAAGCAUUCAACAAACAUUCCUUGCGUCACAUUAUGGCCAAACAUGUCUAAUACUGUGUCAUCCCUUGUUUGAUCUAAAACAUAUUUUUGAUACAGAGCUUGUAGAUUCAUAGAUUCUUUGUUCCUGAAAAGUUGAAGCGGAGGUUAGGAAAAUUGUUGGAAGCGAAGGUUAAGAAAAUUGUUGUUAAUGUCGCAAACAUUGAAGCGGGGG